rnacentral:siRNA from 1 species
UUGGGUCCAGUUAGCUUGUAC